UUGGUUAGUAAUGUGUGACUGAGCUUCCUGAUGCUGUAUGUAUGGGGGAAGUUGGUUAGUAAUGUGUGACUGAGCUUCCUGAUGCUGUAUGUAUGGGGGAAGUUGGUUAGUAAUGUGUGACUGAGCUUCCUGAUGCUGUAUGUAUGGGGGAAGUUGGUUAGUAAUGUGUGACUGAGCUUCCUGAUGGAUGCUGUAUGUAUGGGGGAAGUUGGUUAGUAAUGUGCUUCACAACAUGCAAGAGAGAGCAGGAACAAAUUUAUGCUGGAAUUUCAGGAAUGAGCUGACUUAACUAGCGAGCUUGAUGGUCACUGUUUGACCUAUUUGGAAUCCCCAUAUAAUCAUGGCUUCUUUUUACAGUGUCAUCGUUCACGGUUGUUCACCUUUGAUAGGCCUCAGGCUACAAACCAGCUGACAGAUUGACUGGAGCCACAUUUGUUGCAUGCUUGAUACAGAGCAUAUUUAUGAUUAGCUUGAGUUGAUCAUACCACCCAGCCAUCUCUGAUCUUCUGUCACAUAUCACGUUACAUCUCAAAACAACAUCUUUGGAACAAGUGCAAAAACGAAACAUGCUAAUCUUCUUCACUAAUUAGACAGGAGAUUUUGCUCAUACUACUUGACUAUAGGCCUACACAACAUCUAAGAUGAACCAGUCAGGGAUGACAUGAUUACCAGUCACUUUGAAUAUGAAAGUGUGCCGCUGAGAGUGAAAUGAUACUAAUCUAACGCACAGCAGAGAUGUACAAACUCUGACCACGUCCUCUUCCGAUGCCGUACAGUACAAACCCACCUGCACCAGAUAGACACGGGCCAUUCACACAGACACCGUGAAGUCAGGCGUCGCAUAGUGUGAAAGCUGCAAGGCUGGAGUAAAGCUAUAGUUCACUUCACGCUCUUGAGUAAAAACAGUAAUGGCCAAUUCUCAUUCAUUUGUUUCAGUUGGAGUGGUAGUGUUUGUACAGUGAUUGAGUCAGUGCGGAGUGGACAGAUGCAUUAACAUGGGAAUUACGUGAAUCGGUGGGUGUGAAUGAAGUGAAGGGUGCAGUCGUCCCGACCCGUUAAAGAAGCCGAGCCAUGAUGGAUAGUGUAGAUAGAAUGGUGGUGUGGCAGAUGUACAGUUGAAGUCGGAAGUUUACAUACACUUAGGUUGGAGUCAUUAAAACUCGUUUUUCAACCACUCCACAAACUUCUUGUUAACAAACUAUAGUUUUGGCAAGUCGGUUAGGACAUCUACUUUGUGCAUGACACAAGUAAUUUUUCCAACAAUUGUUUACAGACAGAUUAUUUCACUUAUAAUUCACUGUAUCACAAUUCCAGUGGGUCAGAAGUUUACAUUCCCUAAGUUGACUGUGCCUUUAAACAGCUUGGAAAAUUCCAGAAAAUGAUGUAAUGGCUUUAGAAGCUUCUGAUAGGCUUAUUGACAUAAUUUGAGUCAAUUGACAUAAUUUGAGUCAAUUGGAGGUGUACCUGUGGAUGUAUUUCAAAGCCUACCUUCAAACUCAGUGCCUCUUUGCUUGACAUCAUGGGAAAAUCAAAAGACCUCAGGGGGGGAAAAAAGUAGACCUCCACAAGUCUGGUUCAUCCUUGGGAGAAAUUGCCAAAUGCCUGAAGGUACCACGUUCAUCUGUACAAACAAUAGUACGCAAGUAUCAACACCAUGGGAUUACGCAGCCGUCAUACCGCUCAGGAAGGAGACGUGUUCUGUCUCCUAGAGAUGAACGUACUUUGGUGCGAAAAGUGCAAAUCAAUCCCAGAACAACAGCAAAGGACCUUGUGAAGAUCAACAUAACCUGAAAGGCCGCUCAGCAAGGAAGAAGCCACUGCUCCAAAACCGCCAUAAAAAUGCCAGACUACGGUUUGCAACUGGACAUGGGGACAAAGAUCGUGCUUUUUGGAGAAAUAUCCUCUGGUCUGAUGAAACAAAAAUGGAACUGUUUGGCCAAAAUGGUCAUUGUUAUGUUUGGAAGAAAAAAGGGGAAGCUUGCAAGCCGAAGAACACCACCUCAACCGUGAAGCACAGGGGUGGCAGCAUCAUGUUGUGGGGGUGCUUUGCUGCAGGAGGGACUGGUGCACUUCACAAAAUAGAUGGCAUCAUGAGGAUCGAAAAUUAUGUGGAUAUAUUGAAGCAACAUCAAGACAUCAGUCAGGAAGUUAAAGCUUGGUCGUAAAUGGGUCUUCCAAAUGGACAAUGACCCCAAGCAUACUUCCAAAGUUGUGGCAAAAUGGCUUAAGGACAACAAAGUCAAGGUAUUGGAGUGGCCAUCACAAAGCCCUGACCUAAAUCCUAUAGAAAAUGUGUGGGAAGAACUGAAAAGCUGAAAUAAAUAUUUCUCUACUAUUAUUCUGACAUUUCACAUUCUUAAAAUUAAGUGGUGAUCCUAACUGACCUAAGACAGGGAAUUUUUACUAGGAUUAAAUGUCAGGAAUUGUGAAAAACUGAGUUUAAAUGUAUUUGGCUAAGGUGUAUGUAAACUUCCAACUUCAACUGUAUAUAGGUCUGGAAUCAAGUUCACACAUUGUAGUGCCAGCAUGUGUUUUUAAAGAGAAACAAAUGUAACAAUGCAAUGGUCGCUGCACCUUUGAUGAUUUCCAUAAAACAGUUUCUCAUCCAGUGAUCUGUGAGCUACAGGCUUACUUGUGGGGGGUGCUAGCAUAACCAGAGGUGACUCCCCUGACAGAUUUAAUAUUGGCUCACAAUAUAUAGAUUUUUUUUAUUAAAUAAAUUAACUUGAUUAGUUGGUUGUAUUGUCUCCUGUUAUUUAGAAAUGUUGAAUAUGUAGGAGGUUCCUGGGAUCGAACCUGAUUGGUUAUAUCACCAUUACAUGGUAAAUAACAAGUGCAUAGCCUACAGUUGAAGCCCGCAAUUUGGCAAAUAUGAAAUAGCUGAUGUCAAGUUGCGACUGUCAGUGAGAAGCAUCUAAAAUAGCCCUAGGCCUAUCGCAAUACUUCAAAAUUAAAUUGUGGAAUAAACACAAAAGUCACAUAUAGUCCAAACGAUUUAAAUGUUGUUUAUUCCAUUAGUAGGAUACACCAGGACUAAUCUCUUGGCAGUAGCGGAGAGCGUCGGCCAUAUCUCUGGUGAGUGCGCAUAUUCACUGUCUUUAUCAUUGGGCGAGUCAGUGCCACUGGAAAGUUUAGGACAAUAAUUUCCUCCUCAAUUGUUGAUGGACGUCAUAUUGUACAUUUUGUCUCCCCUUUUCAUAGGCCUAGAUUACAUGGUUACAUUGAAGACAAGGUUGAUUUUAUUGAUCUCAGUUUGCCAGUGUCAGCAGAGUAGCCUAGGCCUAACCUGCAAUUUUUGUAGUAUAUUUACAUGUUUAUUUAUUCAUUUAGUAGACGCUCUUAUCCAGAGCGAUUUACAGUAGUGAAUGCAUACAUUUCAUGCAUUUUUUUUGUACUGGUCCCCCGUGGGAAUCGAACCCACAACCCUGGCGUUGCAAACACCAUGCUCUACCAACUGAGCUACACGGGACUAGUAGGCUAUUAAAGAUUCUGAUAAUGUCCCCAGACAUGUAAAGUGUUGUAGAAUUGCAUGAAAUAUGAUUAUCAGCUAGGGCUGAGCUACUUCCCCAAACAUGAAACUCAAGCGCCACCUAUGAUGCUGUGUAUUUCAUUGUUUGUUUACGGUCGGUCGGAUCAGAUAGUUGGUCUGUUUUGUCAGCGGCCCAGUCACCUUUACUCAUUCCCAGACAUCUGCCUUCAUCACUGAUCAUUACUAAAGUGAAAGCGAGAUUAAACGUUUAAUUAUCGCUUGAAAUAUGCCUAAAGCGUUAUUGUAAACUGCAAACAUAUCCGAAACGACAGGAUUUAUUAUAACGUCUUGGGAUUCGACAAAGCCUCCACCUUCGAAAAUGACAGUCCAUUGAAACGUCUCUCUAGCUCCGCGGCCUUCAUAACUAACCAAGCACUGCGUCCUCGCAAAGUAAGCUAAACUAAUUAUUCACUUGCAUUUUCACGGGUCUAACUAAAUCUAUGUAUUGUGCAAAUGACAACUUCAUCUGAACGGUGAAUUACGAGUGAAUUGGGCCGAUUUAAGAAGCUUCGAAAACUUGGCCAGAGACUUUUUACGAACGGGUGAGGGGGGAUCCCAACAUGGACUCCGCAACAUGCCACGGCGGGUCCGUGCACAGGUACUUUGCACAACUUAUUGAAGCACGAUACAAACAAAGCACGAAUUAAUCAGAUUCCGAUUAUGACAGGUUCAUACAUAAAACAGCAGCAUUUGACGUUUGAGAAAAUGGACCCUAAAGGUGGCCACAUAUUUAAAAGCUAUGUUGGCCAAACAGCGGAGAAAUACAAACUUGUACGGGAUGCAUAGGAUGACAAACAAGCAACACAUUGUAAAUGACCAAAUGUAACGAAACUCUUAAAACAACCCCGGUAGAUAGGUGUAAUCUUCCAAAGUGUCUGGUUCAUAUGAUUAAUUACAACUCAACCAAUCGUUUAAUUUCCUAUUCGAGUAUUAGAAGUGGAUGUCCGCUAGCAAAAGCUUCCAUUUUGAAUGUCUCACUAAAGCAACUCAACUUCAGCUACAUCAACAGGUCGACAAUCAAUCCACAUUGACAUAUUCCCAGCAAACUAGACACAGUAAGUAUAAACAACACUUUUGUAUCAACUUCUCAAACAUAACUGGAGAACGUGUUGAAUACUGUAUAGCUGCAAUGCAAUGAACUCACGUCAGCUAGCUAACUGUCAAAUGACGGCUAAUGUUAGCAAUAGAACUAGCUAGUUAAAUGUAUUUAACAACUUGUAUGACUUUUGUUCACCGCUUAGUAAUUGACAACAGACCGAACAACUGGCGAAGACAACCAGCAAGUUCAUGAUCAAGUUCACCCAGACAAAAGUGGUCGACUUUUUGUUUUGCACAAACUUACCCGAAUCUCCAGGGGUUUUCAUUUUGAGUGUUGCAAGCUAGUUAACGUUAGCUAGCGAGCUUGGUGGAUCUCAAGUCAGUAGCGUUUGUGGAAGGAAAAGUCGUCUCCCUCUGAGCCCUUCCUUUGGUUCGGAUUGGAAAAACGAGGGGGGGACAGGCUAACGUUAAACUUUCCACCGUUGCUCCACUCGCGGGCCCCUUUGCUUCCACUUUAUUUCCCAAUAGCCCCUUCCUCAACUGUAGCGAUCGUGGUAACGUUACUUUCCCGAAUCGCAGUCAGUUGAUGUAGCUCACUGCUUUUUGUCCCACGGCAACUUCGCCUUGUCCUGUUCGAGUUGCAGCGGAACACCGUCAACCGUCCCGACAAGCACACGAACCGAAAACCCUUCUUUCCUUGUUUGCAUAUACUUUCACGAACUGUCGAGUUGUUUACUCCAUCUCAAUCGCAUCUUCCCCGUUGUUUGACAUAUUUUCGCUAAAAUAACCGUUCUGUAGAAUAGCAGUCGUCCUCUCUUUAGACUUUCUUUCUUCCUCCACUCACUAACAUUCUGUACUCUGUGGCUACUCUUUCUCCUCCCCCCGGUUCUUCUCUCUCGGGUGUCGUGUUUCGCUCUCUCCUCACCGGGCCGCCCACACGGAGAGGGAGAGGGGGGCUCUAAGGGGCGGGUCACACCCACUCACCACGAGCCAGGGUGGCGUCACUGCUGCAGCACGCGGCGUCGCCAUGGAGACCGCCACAGCCACACUGCCGUGGUGACAUCAUAUCCGUGUCCUACGAUUCUAGAGGAGAGAAGGCCGUCACCACGUCCUUUUACGUCAAUAGCAGUGAUGGGAUAGUCCCUGGCCACCUGCGGUCUCAGGAGAAAGUAUUGCAUAUAUACAAUCUUGUGUCCUGUCACUCAGGCACUAGUCUGUGGCACUGAUGCAGAACUGUCACAUUGUCAACAAGUGCAUGUGAGAGAGGUGGCAUCAUACAUGGCAGGUGAAGUGUGUCUCAUGAGCCCUAUGUACAACCCCAGCUGCUCAUAAGAACAGCACAGUAAAGGGUCAUCUACUGUGUGUGUGUGACAUAGACCAAUGCGCAGGGACAUCAACAGGAUAACACUGCUGUGUAAAACACAUUUAACAAGCCUUCUUCCCAUGGUGUGAUUUACAAACAGGAUCCCUCUGUCCUCCACUAGCUAUUCUUCAGGAGGGCAGGAAGUCACUCUGUUUUCCCAGAUAGAACCUCUCUCCCAGAUGCUUAUCUGGGAUGCAGCAUUCCCAAAUCCAGGAAACGGCGAGCACCAUCCCGUCCUGUCUCUUCCUGAGCAGAAGGGCCAGGCUAAUGUUUUCCCACGCCCGGACUCCCUGUCAACCACAUCUAGGGGAACAUUAGCCACAGCAUUGUUUUCUCGCCCCCCCCUCCCCCCUUCUGUCUCUCUCUCGCUCUCCCUCUCUGUCCUCACUCACUUUCUCUGCCUAUGUCUCUCUAGUCUUAUCUCUUUCAGUUUCAUUCUGUUGUCCUCUCUUUGUCCAUCCACCUCUCCUCCUAUCUCCAUAUCGCUCUUUCAUUUGAAGAGCACUUCAGCAUCCCCCAAGCUCUUCACAGAGGAAGUAUGGUUGGAGAGAGAAGCGAGAGAUGAAGAAUAAAGAAAAAGAGUGAGUCAGGGAUGAGACAUGAAAUUAAACCAUUAAAACGGUGGAGAACAAAUGGCCUUUCUGUCCAUCUAUCAAUUGCUCACGUGUGUGUGUGCAUUCAUGUGUACGAGUGUCCACCCCCUUCUAAAAGGUGCUCUAUGGUAACCCAAGUAGAGGAGAUUACAUUUUCAUAGAAAUCUACAGCACAGUACAUUCUGAACACUGAAAAGCACACACAGUGCCUCCCUCCACUCCUCCCCUUUAUGAAUGAUAAACAGAAGAGAGGGAGGA
rnacentral:lncRNA from 1 species